CAGAGUUCAUGCCCUUCGGGGUAGAUCUCCCACCCGUGUAUUUAUACCUUUGUUGCUUUGGCAGGCCUGCCUCGGCCACCGGCUCCGGCUGGUGAGCGCCUGCCAGAGGACCCCAAACUCUGAAUUUAAUGUCGUCUGAGUACUAUAUAAUAGUUA
rnacentral:misc_RNA from 1 species